rnacentral:rRNA from 1 species
GGCGCACGGGUGCGUAACGCGUGGGAAUCUGCCCUUGGGUUCGGAAUAACAUCGGGAAACUGAUGCUAAUACCGGAUGAUGACGUAAGUCCAAAGAUUUAUCGCCCAGGGAUGAGCCCGCGUAGGAUUAGCUAGUUGGUGAGGUAAAGGCUCACCAAGGCGACGAUCCUUAGCUGGUCUGAGAGGAUGAUCAGCCACACUGGGACUGAGACACGGCCCAGACUCCUACGGGAGGCAGCAGUAGGGAAUAUUGGACAAUGGGCGAAAGCCUGAUCCAGCAAUGCCGCGUGAGUGAUGAAGGCCUUAGGGUUGUAAAGCUCUUUUACCCGGGAUGAUAAUGACAGUACCGGGAGAAUAAGCCCCGGCUAACUCCGUGCCAGCAGCCGCGGUAAUACGGAGGGGGCUAGCGUUGUUCGGAAUUACUGGGCGUAAAGCGCGCGUAGGUGGCGAUUUAAGUCAGAGGUGAAAGCCCGGGGCUCAACCCCGGAACUGCCUUUGAGACUGGAUUGCUUGAACAUCGGAGAGGUGAGUGGAAUUCCGAGUGUAAAGGUGAAAUUCGUAGAUAUUCGGAAGAACACCAGUGGCGAAGGCGGCUCACUGGACGAUUGUUGACGCUGAGGUGCGAAAGCGUGGGGAGCAAA